AUUGAACGAUGGAAGCAGGCCUAACACAUGCAAGUCGAACGAGUGGCGGACGGGUGAGUAAUGUAUGGGAAACUGCCUGAUGGAGGGGGAUAACUACUGGAAAAGGUAGCUAAUAACGCAUACAAUAAGAUGUGCACAGAUGGGAUUAGCUAGUAGGGGGGGUAACGGCUCACCUAGGCGACGAUCCCUAGCUGGUCUGAGAGGAUUACCAGCCACACUGUAACUGAGACACGGUCCAGACUCCUACGGGAGGCAGCAGUGGGGAAUAUUGCACAAUGGGCGCAAGCCUGAUGCAGCCAUGCCGCGUGUAUGAAGAAGGCCUUCGGGUUGUAAAGUACUUUCAGCGGGGAGGCGUUACCCGCAGAAGAAGCACCGGCUAACUCCGUGCCAGCAGCCGCGGUAAUUC
rnacentral:rRNA from 1 species